CAAUUUACUUUAAUUUAAAAUAAAAAAAUGGCUUAAAAUUUGUAGUUCGUUGAUCUCAAUUGCUUAAAAAAUUAUAACAAGAAAUUUUAUUUUUCAAUAGACUCGUCAAAUCUGAUAGGGUUCAGCUAACAAGUAAAUGCGGAUUUCAAGUCUGGUUUAAAACAAAUGCUGGAUUGAAAAUAGUAAUUCCAAUAGAGUUUUCGAUUAGAAUGUCAACGAAAAAUCGAUGAAAAGGAAAAACUCAUCAAAUCUACAGACAGUUCGAUACCACUGGAUGUCUUUCUCUUCUGUUUUCGUAUAUGUCAGAGUUCUGUAAUAUUUAAAAAUGCAAACGGGCCACACACUCGUCAACUAACAACAAACAAACAAGCACAAAAAAUCAGAUACAUAUCGCUUCUGUACCCCUUCAAAGAGAUACUCAAAAAACAGAAAAAGAAAAAAAUACAAAAGAGAAGAGCAGAGCUGAGAAGAGAAGAGAGUAGAAAAACACAUCGAGUACAGAACAUAGCUGAAAAACACGAGCCACGGCGACAGAGUUGCAGCCAAAAUAACAGCAACAAGGAUAACGAGGACAUGGACAUUGCCACGAUGAUGAUGUUGUUGCUGUAGUGGGAAAGAGCUAGCCAGAUGCGAUGGAGUUGGAUUUGGCCAGGACUCGGCUCAGUUCGCCGAAAAUGUUGCGUUACGCGAAAAAAGAGGCGAGCGAUGAACGCGGCAACCGGCGGCAAUUGGGGAUAGCGAGCGGAUGAUGGGCCAGCGGAUAGGCGUGGCAGAGCAGGACAUGAGGACGAUUUGGACCUCUUCUCCUGGCUCACAACCCGCAAACCCCCCCUUUCACUCCGCCGAUUUUGCUAGUUAUUGUUAAGCCUUGCCUGGUUUCUGGCUCAGUCAAAGGUGCCAUGAGAAAUGUGUAUGCCAAUGAUGUAAACGGCGCUUUAAUGCUUCGACCAUGGAACUGGGGCACAUCGAGAAGACAAUAGAGCUCAGCUUUAAGUAACCAUACACACACAUAUAAUUGACUAAGUUGUGUGGAAUUGAGUUCGUUUUCUAUGGGAGAAACAAUCCUGGAAACUCCCUCGACUUAUACAUCUUAUUUUUAAAGCAUA